rnacentral:misc_RNA from 1 species
AUAUGGUGGAAACAUACGAUAUAUAGAUUAAAACUUGGAAACUAUCAUUAGAUCGAAAAAUAAACGUCUAAGAUUUGUCCAUGUCAUCACGAGUAAAAAUUUUACUUAUGGUGAUGUGGACGAAUCUCGAACGUCCAUUUUUCGAUCCAACGAUAGUUUCUAAGUUUCUAUUACAUACGUGGUUUGCGCU